UACGUAGGGUGCGAGCGUUAAUCGGAAUUACUGGGCGUAAAGCGUGCGCAGGCGGUUCGUUAUGUCCGAUGUGAAAGCCCCGAGCUCAACUUGGGAAUGGCAUUGGAAACUGGCGGGCUGGAGUGUGACAGAGGGGGGUGGAAUUCCACGUGUAGCAGUGAAAUGCGUAGAGAUGUGGAGGAACACCGAUGGCGAAGGCAGCCCCCUGGGCCAACACUGACGCUCAGGCACGAAAGCGUGGGGAGCAAACAGG
rnacentral:rRNA from 1 species